rnacentral:rRNA from 1 species
AAAUUGAAGAGUUUGAUCAUGGCUCAGAUUGAACGCUGGCGGCAGGCCUAACACAUGCAAGUCGAACGGUAACAGGAAUCAGCUUGCUGAUUCGCUGACGAGUGGCGGACGGGUGAGUAAUGUCUGGGAAACUGCCUGAUGGAGGGGGAUAACUACUGGAAACGGUAGCUAAUACCGCAUAACGUCGCAAGACCAAAGAGGGGGACCUUCGGGCCUCUUGCCAUCAGAUGUGCCCAGAUGGGAUUAGCUAGUAGGUGGGGUAA